GUUUCCCAAGAGAAAUCAACUAUUGUUUCUGGCAUUGUGAACUGAGGAAGAGCCAAGCCUGCCCAUUGCCUGUGCCAAGGUUGGGAGGCUCUUGAUGACUGUUUCUAUUUUGAUGACUGUUUAAAAUGGUUACCUGAUUUGGAUUUAAAUUUGAGUCUGGUGCACAGUGUGAACAUGGCAGCCACUGAAGGGGAUCCUCCCCAGGUCCCUUCCCUGAGAUCUCCAUUUUAAGCGAGAUCCGAAUGCUCUAACUGUACUAAUGGUAAAAGGCAGUAAGGAAGCACGAGC